rnacentral:rRNA from 1 species
GAUGAACGCUAGCGGCAGGCCUAAUACAUGCAAGACGAACGGUAAGUUGAGUAGCAAUACUUGACCUAGAGUGUCGUACGGGUGCGUAACACGUAUGCAACCUACCCAUAACAGGAGGAUAGCUCCCCGAAAGGGGAAUUAACCCUCCAUAGUAAUAUUGAAUGGCAUCAUUUGGUAUUUAAAACUCCGGUGGUUAUGGAUGGGCAUGCGUCUGAUUAGUUAGUUGGCGGGGUAACGGCCCACCAAGGCGAUGAUCAGUAGGGGAACUGAGAGGUUGAUCCCCCACACUGGCACUGAGAUACGGGCCAGACUCCUACGGGAGGCAGCAGUAGGGAAUAUUGGUCAAUGGAUGGAAGUCUGAACCAGCCAUGCCGCGUGCAGGAAGAAGGCCUUAUGGGUUGUAAACUGCUUUUGCCAGGGGAUAAAAUAGCUGUGCGCAGCGAAUUGCAGGUACCUGGUGAAUAAGCCACGGCUAACUACGUGCCAGCAGCCGCGGUAAUACGUAGGUGGCAAGCGUUGUCCGGAUUUAUUGGGUUUAAAGGGUGCGUAGGCGGCCCUGUAAGUCAGUGGUGAAAUACUCCAGCUUAACUGGAGGGGUGCCAUUGAUACUGCAGGGCUUGAGUGGAGUAGAAGUAGGCGGAAUUGACGGUGUAGCGGUGAAAUGCUUAGAUAUCGUCAAGAACACCGAUAGUGAAGACAGCUUACUAUGCUUCAACUGACGCUGAGGCACGAAGGUGUGGGGAUCAAACAGGAUUAGAUACCCUGGUAGUCCACACUGUAAACGUUGAUGACUCGCUGUUGGCGAUACACAGCCAGCGGCCAAGCGCAAGCGAUAAGUCAUCCACCUGGG